CCUAUACUGGCUCAGAGGGUAAAGCUUCUGCCUGCAAUGCAGGAGACCUGGGUUCGAUCCCUGGAUCAGGA
rnacentral:tRNA from 1 species